AUGGAAGUCUCGAGGAAGGCGAAGCGUGCCGGCGGCGGCUUCGACGACCGGCUGAGCGACCUGCCGGACUGCCUCCUCCAUGACAUCCUGUCGCGCCUCAAGGCCCGGCAGGUCGUUCAGACGUGCGUGCUGUCGCGGCGGUGGCAGCACCUCUGGCCCACGUCCCCGUGCCUCGACGUCGAUAUCCGCGAGUUCCGCCCCGAUGCGACUCUAGGUCCCCGCCGGUGGCCGCUGAGCCCCGCCCAGCUCGCUGACUACGGGAAGGAGCCGGCCGAGCUCGCCGACUUCGAGGAUUUCGUCGACAGCCUUCUGGUCCAUCGGAUUCGGAGCGCCGGAGCUGCGCCCCUGCAAACCCUGCGGCUGCGCAUCCCGCCGUGGUGGUUGGGGUUGAGCGUCGUGCCGAUCUAUGGCAGCGAGAUCCACGCGGCCAAGUACACGAGGUGGGUGCGUCGCGGCCUCCAGUGCUCCCCGGCGGCGCUCGACGUGCGCGGCUCCGUCAAGCUGCCCCCUCUAGCCUCCUCCGGUACCCACCGCCUCACGAGGCUGCGCCUCGACCAGGUGACCCUCCACCGUGAUUUCGCGGAGCACCUCGCCUCCGGGCUCCCCGUGCUGGAGGACCUGCAGAUCACUGGCACCAUGUUAUCAGUAGCGCUCCCGAGGAUCGCGUCCGGCACGCUAAAAAACCUCGUGGUCGAAUCCUCCACCCACAACAGCGAGAGCCUGAGCUUCACCAUCGCCGCCCCUCGACUCGCGUCGCUGCACCUCGCCCUUAACUUCCGGUGCCUCAUCUCCUUCGCCGUCGUCCUGGAGGAGGCGCCUUGCCUCGUCCAAGCAUCCGUCCGCCUGGUAGGGACCCCUGAUCUCCGGCACAAACAGGGGGGCGGCUACUACCUUCAGCAGGACAGGGAUCUGCUCAGGGCUCUGUGCAACUUCAUCGGCUCUCUGUCCCACGUCUGCACCCUGAAGCUGCACGGCUUUGGCAACAUGCUGCUCGAUCUAUACUGCCCUCGCUCUUGCUCAAUCAUAGUUGAGCAACCUAUACCCCAUGCUCCACCUCCUGGAGCUCAAUUCUUUCAAUAUCAGCCGGAGAUGCUGCACCCGUAUAUACCUCUUGUUCCACCACCUGGACCAUUCUUCUUUCCAGAUCAGCCGCCGAUGCCGUCACUGCCACUGGCCGAGGACAAGUUCCCGCGUCCAAUGUUGCAGGCGAUGCUCGACGAGGAGCACCACGGGUUACCGGUGUUUCGCAGCAUGAGGACCUUGGUCCUUGAGGAUUCCGAGAUGGGCGGCGAUGCUCAGAUGCUCUGGCGUUUUCUGCGUAAUGCUCCUGUCCUAGAGAAGCUCACUCUAAAGAACUGUCAGUGCCAUGAGUUCCCAAACACUCCAAUGAUGGAGCUACCUCGGACCGUAUCCCUCACCCCCAACCUCAAGUCGGUGGUAAUCAUCGAGGGCGGCAGCUAUGGGAGCAUAGACGCGGAGCAAACGAACGAGAUCUUGACGUCCAUGAUGUUAGGGGAGAUGGAGAAAGAUGCCGGCGAGGUGGAGUCGCUGGCCGCACUUCCAGACGAGGCGGACGACGACCCCACCUCGUGGUCAUGCUUGGUCUUCUUGCCGGGGUGCCACUUCGAGAACCUCAUGGUCGGUGGGGAGCGAGGUGGGCGACGGCCCUAG
rnacentral:rRNA from 1 species